rnacentral:tRNA from 1 species
UGUCUUAUAGUUAAUAUUAUAACGCCAAACUGCAAUUUUGGAAUAAAUUCAAAUUUAAGACUU